rnacentral:rRNA from 1 species
GACGAACGUUGGCGGCGUGCUUAACACAUGCAAGUCGAACGGAAAGGCCCUGCUUUUGUGGGGUGCUCGAGUGGCGAACGGGUGAGUAACACGUGAGUAACCUGCCCUUGACUUUGGGAUAACUUCAGGAAACUGGGGCUAAUACCGGAUAGGAGCUCCUGCUGCAUGGUGGGGGUUGGAAAGUUUCGGCGGUUGGGGAUGGACUCGCGGCUUAUCAGCUUGUUGGUGGGGUAGUGGCUUACCAAGGCUUUGACGGGUAGCCGGCCUGAGAGGGUGACCGGCCACAUUGGGACUGAGAUACGGCCCAGACUCCUACGGGAGGCAGCAGUGGGGAAUAUUGCACAAUGGGCGGAAGCCUGAUGCAGCAACGCCGCGUGCGGGAUGACGGCCUUCGGGUUGUAAACCGCUUUCGCCUGUGACGAAGCGUGAGUGACGGUAAUGGGUAAAGAAGCACCGGCUAACUACGUGCCAGCAGCCGCGGUGAUACGUAGGGUGCGAGCGUUGUCCGGAUUUAUUGGGCGUAAAGGGCUCGUAGGUGGUUGAUCGCGUCGGAAGUGUAAUCUUGGGGCUUAACCCUGAGCGUGCUUUCGAUACGGGUUGACUUGAGGAAGGUAGGGGAGAAUGGAAUUCCUGGUGGAGCGGUGGAAUGCGCAGAUAUCAGGAGGAACACCAGUGGGGAAGGCGGUUCUCUGGGCCUUUCCUGACGCUGAGGAGCGAAAGCGUGGGGAGCGAACAGGCUUAGAUACCCUGGUAGUCCACGCUGUAAACGGUGGGUACUAGGUGUGGGGUCCAUUCCACGGGUUCCGUGCCGUAGCUAACGCUUUAAGUACCCCGCCUGGGGAGUACGGCCGCAAGGCUAAAACUCAAAGGAAUUGACGGGGCCCCGCACAAGCGGCGGAGCAUGCGGAUUAAUUCGAUGCAACGCGUAGAACCUUACCUGGGUUUGACAUGGAUCGGGAGUGCUCAGAGAUGGGUGUGCCUCUUUUGGGGUCGGUUCACAGGUGGUGCAUGCCUGUCGUCAGCUCGUGUCGUGAGAUGUUGGGUUAAGUCCCGCAACGAGCGCAACCCUUGUUCACUGUUGCCAGCACGUUAUGGUGGGGACUCAGUGGAGACCGCCGGGGUCAACUCGGAGGAAGGUGGGGAUGACGUCAAGUCAUCAUGCCCCUUAUGUCCAGGGCUUCACGCAUGCUACAAUGGCUGGUACAGAGAGUGGCGAGCCUGUGAGGGUGAGCGAAUCUCGGAAAGCCGGUCUCAGUUCGGAUUGGGGUCUGCAACUCGACCUCAUGAAGUCGGAGUCGCUAGUAAUCGCAGAUCAGCAACGCUGCGGUGAAUACGUUCCCGGG